UAAUACGGAGGGGGUUAGCGUUGUUCGGAUUUACUGGGCGUAAAGCGCGCGUAGGCGGAUCAGAAAGUUGGGGGUGAAAUCCCGGGGCUCAACCCCGGAAUUGCCUUCAAAACUCCUGGUCUUGAGUUCGAGAGAGGUGAGUGGAAUUCCGAGUGUAGAGGUGAAAUUCGUAGAUAUUCGGAGGAACACCAGUGGCGAAGGCGGCUCACUGGCUCGAUACUGACGCUGAGGUGCGAAAGCGUGGGGAGCAAACAGG
rnacentral:rRNA from 2 species